CCGCGGGGCGGCCGCCGCGCAUGCGGGGCUCACACGGCCGCAGCCGGCGCCGCUGCCACUCCCGGGAGCAUGAAGGACCGAACCCAGGAGCUCCGCACGGCCAAGGACAGCGAUGAUGAUGACGAUGUCACUGUCACGGUGGACCGGGAUGGCUUCAUGGAUGAGUUCUUCGAACAGGUGGAGGAGAUCCGAGGCUUCAUCGACAAGAUCUCGGAGAACGUGGAGGAGGUGAAGCGGAAGCACAGCGCCAUCCUGGCCUCCCCCAACCCCGACGAGAAGACGAAGGAGGAGCUGGAGGAGCUCAUGUCCGACAUAAAGAAGACCGCAAACAAAGUUCGCUCCAAGUUAAAGAGCAUCGAGCAGAGCAUCGAGCAGGAGGAAGGCCUCAACCGCUCAUCCGCGGACCUGAGGAUCCGAAAGACACAGCACUCCACGCUGUCCCGCAAGUUUGUGGAGGUCAUGUCCGAGUACAAUGCCACGCAGUCUGACUACCGCGAGCGCUGCAAAGGGCGCAUCCAGAGGCAGCUGGAGAUCACUGGCCGGACCACGACCAGCGAGGAGCUGGAGGACAUGCUGGAGAGCGGAAACCCAGCCAUCUUUGCUUCCGGGAUCAUCAUGGACUCCAGCAUCUCAAAGCAGGCCCUGAGUGAGAUUGAGACGCGGCACAGUGAGAUCAUCAAGCUGGAGAACAGCAUCCGGGAGCUGCACGACAUGUUCAUGGACAUGGCCAUGCUUGUGGAGAGCCAGGGUGCUUCCCCAGAGUCCUACCCUGAAGGGGGCCGGCUGGAGCUCACGGGCGCCGGCCCUGCAGGGGGAGAUGAUCGACAGGAUUGAGUACAACGUGGAACAUUCGGUGGACUAUGUGGAGAGGGCCGUGUCUGACACCAAGAAGGCCGUCAAGUACCAGAGCAAGGCGCGCCGGAAGAAGAUCAUGAUCAUCAUCUGCUGCGUGGUCCUGGGCAUCGUCAUCGCCUCCACCUUCGGAGGCAUCUUCGGGUAGAAGCCACCCCACCUGCCACUCUGCUCCGGACGGUCUGUCUGCCCUCAGGAGGCCCGCUGGCUGCCGCCGCCUUCCGGCUCGGAGCCCCUUCCUUCCCACCCGGUACCGCUCCUUUCUCGGCCGUAGGGCCCUCCGCACCCCCUGCCCUGAGCCGUCGUGUGCAUGAUCUCUGUGACAGUGUGUGUCUGUACCGAGGAGCCAGUGGGGUGGGGGUAGGUCCACAGGGAACAGACUCGGGCCCUGGCCCGGGCCACGUCACCCCUCCCGGGUCGCGCUGCCCAGGAUAGCCAUGCUCCCCUUCCCUUGCCGCCCGCAGUCCCAGUCCAGCCCAGGGUCUGCCCUCUCCCGGGACCAGGGCGCUCGCUAGACCCCCAACCUUGCCUCGUCAACGGCCCAUCCGCCCUGACCUCUGUUCUCUCCAGCUGUCCCCCAAAGCCGAGCCCCCUGAGGGGUGGGGGCCAGCUGGCCACAUGGUGCUGCUUUUCAGGUCAGGGGAGGGGUGGCCCUGAGAGACAGCCCAGCUCUAAGCCUCUAACAGCUCAUCACUGCCAGGGAGGCUCAGGGUGUCGUGGCCAGGUGGCUUCAGGUGGUUUCUGGCUUGGUCAAGACCAGGCUCCCUCCCCGGCCUAGGGGCAGAGGCCAGCAGGUCUUGGCUGCCUCGUCUUCCCUUCCCACAUUCCUACAGCCCCAGGAGCAACCCCUCCGGGCUAUGCCUGACCCCAGGUAACAUUCUAGAGAGGUCGUCUGGUGCCUGGUUUCCAGCCACCCUUAGAGCUCAGGAGGCAGUUGGGGCCCACCGGGCCUCUGCCCUAGCCGAAGCCCACACCCUGGGCCAGCCACCCUCCCCAGCAGGCCUCGUCAGGUUCUCAAGCCAUCGUUGUGUUGCAUGUUUGGGACAGGGGUCCCUGCUCUCUUGUGCCCUGGAAAGUCAGACGUCACCUCAGGCCUACAGUCACGUCCUGCCCUUGCUGUCCCCCCACGGACAUGCCACGUGGGUGUCUGGUGUCCGGGAUGCAGUACUCCACAGCCAGCCAGGGAGGCGGAUCGCCCUCUCCCCAUCUCGGGGCUUCUCCAGUCAGAAGUGUGCCCCCACCCAAGAGCCUGCCCCCUUGCGGACAGGCCGGGAGUGUGCAUGCGAGUGCAUGCGGCAGGGCGCAGGGCGCAGGGCCGCAGCCGGGCCCCGCCUCCCCUCAGCUCUGCUCCUGCCCAGUGACUGUGACCACCGUCUGUAUUGCCUUCUUGAACAGCAACUUCCCUCCCCUCCCUCACCCCCUUUCACCAAAGGUCUUGGUACAACCAGCUGCCCAUUUUGUGAAAUUUUUAUGUAGAAUAAACAUUUGUAUCUGUACCCUGCCUCUGCUCUGGAUUUGUCGCUGUCCCCGUCUUAGAACUUAGGGCUUAGCGUGCAGAGCAUGAACAGGAAGGAGGGACUCGGGCAGAGGAUCCCCCGUCCUCCCUCAGCCUCCAGAUCCUCAGGCCCCUCCACCCCGGCCUGAACGUCUCCACUACUGCUGGAAGCCUGAUGCCCGCUUCUGUAUGUGGGUCCAUAGUUCUCCCCUCCCCCUGCUUUUCCCACAAAUCACAACC